ACGAGCGCCUCCAGGUGAGCGGAGGACUGACGGAACGCAGGUUCAGGGACGAGAGGCCUGGCUUUCAUGAACGUCCUGCAGGAUUUAAACAUAAGCAAUAUUUUCCAGCUAUUCUGAACAUUUAUCUGUAAGAUGUGUCAUUAUCUGGAAAGAAACGUGACUUUGAACAGCUGAAGGAGUGGAGGCAUGAGGUUGGAGUUAAUUUCAUGGCAAUCGUGGAAUUGGGUAAGGCCAUAGGAUUAUUUCUGGCCGAGAAAUAUGAUAGAUGAUCAAGAAAUAAAUGUCUUUUAAGCAUAAAAACAUAAGGAUAUGGUGAAAUUUCAUGAGUACGCAGGCCUCUCGCUGUUGUGGCCUCUCUCAUUGCGGAGCACAGGCUCCGGACGCGCAGGCUCAGCGGCCAUGGCUCAUGGGCCCAGCCGCUCCACAGCAUGUGGGAUCUUCCCGGACCGGUGCACGAACCUGUGUCCCCUGCAUCGGCAGGUGGACUCUCAACCACUGCGCCACCAGGGAAGCCCAAGAGAAUGUCUUUAUUUCACUGUCAUUCCUUAAAGGACUGCUCAGGAGGACCAUGAGGGAGGGGCAAGGCACAUCAUUGGAAGCAGGCCUAAGGCACAGGCCAGGAGAAAAAGUUAAAAAGCAAGAGCAAGAAAGGAGUGGAAUAAUGGCAGAGAGAGGAAGAAUACAGACAAAAUGAACAAGUACAUUUAUUGUGAACAGAAGCUGCCUGGGCUUCCAGAGGUCUCAGGCGCACCUCUUUCAGCUGGUUCUCAGGGGCAGGAGAGUUGGGUACCAGGAGACUGAGGCUCUACUGCUGGCUGUGCCCCAGCUUCCCCAGUGACCUUGUAGAUGUCAUUUCGCCUUUCUGCCUCCUUCCUAUUGUCAAAGGCAGGCAUACUG